rnacentral:rRNA from 1 species
CCUACGGGUGGCAGCAGUGAGGAAUAUUGGUCAAUGGGCGAGAGCCUGAACCAGCCAAGUCGCGUGAGGGAAGACGGUCCUAUGGAUUGUAAACCUCUUUUGCCGGGGAGCAAAAAGCGGUACGUGUACCGCAUCGAGAGUACCCGGAGAAAAAGCAUCGGCUAACUCCGUGCCAGCAGCCGCGGUAAUACGGAGGAUGCGAGCGUUAUCCGGAUUUAUUGGGUUUAAAGGGUGCGUAGGCGGGCCUUCAGGCCGGCGGUAAAAUUGCGGGGCUCAACCCCGCCGAGCCGUCGGAACCGGGGGCCUUGAGUACCGGAGAAGUACGCGGAAUGCGUGGUGUAGCGGUGAAAUGCAUAGAUAUCACGCAGAACCCCGAUUGCGAAGGCAGCGUACCGGCCGGUCACUGACGCUGAGGCACGAAAGCGCGGGUAUCGAACAGGAUUAGAUACCCGGGUAGUC